rnacentral:rRNA from 1 species
GAUGAACGCUGGCGGCGUGCCUAAUACAUGCAAGUCGAGCGAACAGACGAGGAGCUUGCUCCUCUAACGUUAGCGGCGGACGGGUGAGUAACACGUGGAUAACCUACCUAUAAGACUGGGAUAACUUCGGGAAACCGGAGCUAAUACCGGAUAAUAUAUUGAACCGCAUGGUUCAAUAGUGAAAUACGGUUUUGCUGUCACUUAUAGAUGGAUCCGCGCCGCAUUAGCUAGUUGGUAAGGUAACGGCUUACCAAGGCGACGAUGCGGAGCCGACCUGGGAGUGUGAUCAGCGAUGCUGGAACUGAUGAUCAGUAUAGACUCCUACGGGAGGCAGCAGUCAAGAAUCUGCCGCAAUAGGCGAAAGCGUGACGGAGCAAAGCCGCGUGAGUGAUGAAGGUCGUCGGAUCGUAAAACGGUGUUAGUAGGGAAGACCAAAUGUGGAAGUAACUAUGGACGUCAUGGAGGUACCUAAUGAGAGGGCCACGGCUAACCACCUG